UACGGGGGGAGCAAGCGUUGUUCGGAUUUACUGGGCGUAAAGGGCGCGUAGGCGGUCAGCCCAAUUCAGUUGUGAAAUCUCCGGGCUUAACUCGGAAAGGUCAACUGAUACUGUGCGACUAGAGUGCGGAAGGGGCAACUGGAAUUCUUGGUGUAGCGGUGAAAUGCGUAGAUAUCAAGAGGAACACCUGCGGCGAAGGCGGGUUGCUGGGCCGACACUGACGCUGAUGCGCGAAAGCCAGGGGAGCGAACGGG
rnacentral:rRNA from 1 species